rnacentral:lncRNA from 1 species
CAGUGUAAGCAGAAGCCCGCAUCCCCAUCCCCAUCCCCAUCCCCAUCCCCAAUAGCCAUCCGCCACGGCGGCAGAACGUCAAGAAUGUUUAGGGGUUUUUAUGAAGUGGCGGACAAUUAUUGGUCGUAAAGCGCAAUGGAGUAAUUGUCCAGGAAAGUAUUUGUUCUCGUUCUAUAGACGCGUCGUGACGGUCUGCGAGCGCC